rnacentral:rRNA from 1 species
UAUUGCACAAUGGGGGAAACCCUGAUGCAGCAACGCCGCGUGAGUGAAGAAGUCAUCCGUGAUGUAAAGCUCUAUCAGCAGGGAAGAAAAUGACGGUACCUGACUAAGAAGCCCCGGCUAACUACGUGCCAGCAGUCGCGGUAAUACGUAGGGGGCAAGCGUUAUCCGGAUUUACUGGGCGUAAAGGGAGCGUAGACGGCGACGCAAGUCUGAAGUGAAAUGCCAGUGCUCAACACUGGAACUGCUUUGGAAACUGUGUGGCUAGAGUGCAGGAGAGGUAAGUGGAAUUCCUAGUGUAGCGGUGAAAUGCGUAGAUAUUAGGAGGAACACCAGUGGCGAAGGCGGCUUACUGGACUGUAACUGACGUUGAGGCUCGAAGGCGUGGGGAGCAAACAGG